rnacentral:rRNA from 1 species
AUGAUUUAAGGUCUAAUCUGCCCAAUGAGUAAUUAAAUGGCCGCAGUAUUCUGACUGUGCAAAGGUAGCAUAAUCAUUAGUUUUUUAAUUGGAAGCUUGAAUGAAUGAUUGGAUAAGAAAGUUAUUGUCUCAUUUUAAUAAUUAGAAUUUUACUUUUUAGUUAAAAGGCUAAAAUUUUUUAGGAAGACGAGAAGACCCUAUAGAGUUUUAUUAAUCUUAAUUUAUUAAUUUAUGGGAUAAUAAUUUUUUUUGAUUAAUUUGGUUGGGGUGAUUUAAAAAUUUAAUAAACUUUUUAUUUUUAUUAACAUUUAUUUAUGAAUAUAUGAUCUUUUUUUUAGAAUUAAAAGAACAAAUUACCUUAGGGAUAACAGCGUUAUUUUCCUUGAUAGUUCAAAUUGGAAGGAAAGAUUGCGACCUCGAUGUUGGAUUAAAAUUUAAAUUGGGUGUAGAAGCUUAAAUUUUGGGUCUGUUCGACCUUUAAAAUUUUACAUGAUCUGAGUUUAAACCGGCGUGAGCCAGGUUGGUUUCUAUCUUCUAUAAGUUAAAAUAUUUUAGUACGAAAGGACCAAGUAUUUAAAUAAUAUUUUUUAUAUGAAUUAUAUUAAUUAUUAUUUUGGCAGAUUAGUGCUAUAGAUUUAGAAUCUUUAUAUGUAAUUUUUACAAAUAAUAUUGGUUUAUAAGGAUUUAUUUUUAAUAUUGUUUUCUUUUAUUGUAUUAAUUUUAGUUGUUUUAAUUGGUGUUGCUUUUUUAACGUUGAUGGAACGUAAGGUU